rnacentral:rRNA from 1 species
AACGAACGCUGGCGGCAUGCCUAACACAUGCAAGUCGAACGAAGAGCAGCUUGCUGCUCUUAGUGGCAAACGGGUGAGUAACGCGUGGGAAUCUACCUUUCGAUGGGGGAUAACCGGGGGAAACUUCGGCUAAUACCGCAUACGCUCAGAAAUGAGGAAAGAUUUAUCGUCGAAAGAUGAGCCCGCGUCAGAUUAGGUAGUUGGUGGGGUAAAGGCCUACCAAGCCUGUGAUCUGUAGCUGGUCUGAGAGGAUGAUCAGCCACACUGGGAUUGAGAUACGGCCCAGACUCCUACGGGAGGCAGCAGUGAGGAAUAUUGGACAAUGGGGGAAAUCCUGAUCCAGCAAUGCCGCGUGAAUGAAGAAGGCCUUUGGGUUGUAAAGUUCUUUCACUUAUGAAGAUGAUGACGGUAGUAAGAGAAGAAGGUCCGGCUAACUCUGUGCCAGCAGCCGCGGUAAGACAGAGGGACCUAGUGUUGUUCGGAAUGACUGGGCGUAAAGGGUGCGUAGGCGGUCGCUUAAGUAAGGUGUUAAAGCCCCAGGCUCAACCUGGGAAUCGCGCUUUAAACUGGGUGACUGGAGUGUGAGAGAGGAGAGUGGAAUUCCUAGUGUAGAGGUGAAAUUCGUAGAUAUUAGGAGGAAUACCAGAGGCGAAGGCGGCUCUCUGGCUCAUUACUGACGCUGAGGCACGAAAGCGUGGGGAGCGAAUAGGAUUAGAUACCCUAGUAGUCCACGCCCUAAACGAUGAGUACUAGAUGUUGGAUUUUUUUUCAGUGUCGCAGCUAACGCGUGAAGUACUCCGCCUGAGGACUACGGUCGCAAGAUUAAAACUUAAAGGAAUUGACGGGGGCCCGCACAAGCGGUGGAGCAUGUGGUUUAAUUCGACGAUCCGCGAAAAACCUUACCAGCUCUUGACAUGGGGAUUACGAGUUCCAGAGAUGGAAUUCAUCAGUUCGGCUGGGUCCUCACAGGUGCUGCAUGGCUGUCGUCAGCUCGUGUCGUGAGAUGUUGGGUUAAGUCCCGCAACGAGCGCAACCCUUAUCCUUACUUGCUAACAGGUUAUGCUGAGAACUUUAAGGAGACUGCCGGUGAUGAACCGGAGGAAGGCGAGGAUGACGUCAAGUCCUCAUGGCCCUUAUGGGCUGGGCUACACAUGUGCUACAAUGGUGGUUACAAAGGGAUGCAAUGGGGUGACCCGGAGCCAAUCCUUAAAAGCCAUCUCAGUUCGGAUUGUUCUCUGCAACUCGAGAACAUGAAGUUGGAAUCGCUAGUAAUCGUGGAUCAGCACGCCACGGUGAAUACGUUCACGGGCCUUGUACACACCGCCCGUCAAGCCAUGGGAGUUGGUUCUACCUGAAGCCGGUGCGCUAACCGUAAGGAGGCAGCCGUCCACGGUAGGGUCGAUGACUGGGGU